GCAAUUCCCUUUUCUACCAGCAGGAGUAAAAUGGAAGGUUGUAAAAAAAAAAAUGUCCAUUGUCCACAUCUAUUGAUUGACAUUGGUCCCAUGUCUCUAUCUUUCUGCUGACAAAAGUUAUUACAAAAACAAGGUUAAUUUUGGACAUGCAAUUACUGUACCUAAUCUGCCACUAGAAAAGAGAGGCUCUAAAAGAGAGGCUGUGAAAGAUGUCCAUUGUACCCCUGUAUUGAUUGACACUGGUCUCCUGUCUACAUGACCUUUAACUAAAAAGCUAUUACAAAGAACCGUCCAUUGAUCUAUAGCAAAAAAACAAAGAAAAAUUGCACUUUCCCCAUGGUCCCUUACCGAAUGCUGCGCAAAGAGCAAGCUCUCACGGCUUUACUGGACAUUGCGACGCUAAUGCGGGGCAGUGCUUAUGAAGAAAUACAGAGAUGCUGUAAAUGAAUCUUUUAAAGCAAAUACUUGUACUUUCAAGACUUCCGAUAUGUUCUACAAGGUUACAUAAAUAUUUAGCAACUUGUUUUGUAUCAGUGUGAGCCUCUUUUAAAAAGUUAUUGAACUGGAAGGUGAUGUUAAGUUACGUUUUAUCUUCUGCGCAUGUGCAAAGAGCACCAUUUUGGGGGUUAGCGCGGGUUUUUGACGGUUCGGUUCAGUCUUGUAUAUGGAGCUGCUGUGGUUGAACAGGUUUGAACAGUAAAGAGUGUUAUUGCUAACAACAGUUGUGGUUAUUGAGUUAACAUUGGUAGCAGAGGAUGGCUGCUGCUGGAAAUUACAAAAAUCCACCGCCGUUUGACGAGAAGACGGCGUACGAAAGUUGGAAAAAUGAGGUUGAAAUUUGGAGACGUGUCACUGACUUGGACAAAAAGAAACAAGCUUUGGCAGUUACCUUGUCACUAACGGGCAGAGCAAGGGACAGUGCACUGGAAAUUUCUGCUGAGGAUUUAAAUGGUGACACUGGAAUGCAAACACUUAUAGCGAAAUUGGACUCUGUGUUUUUAAAAGAAGAAAAAGAUCGACAGUACGAGGCGUACACGGAGUUUGACCGGAUCACAAGAGAAAGCGGCGUUUCUAUGGUGGAAUACAUCGUCGAGUUCGAACAUCGAUACAACAGGCUACGUAAGUUCAAAAUGGAGCUCCCAGAUGCCGUAUUAGCCUUCAAGCUACUAGAUACUGCCGGACUUACCGUUAAAGAUAAACAGUUAGCGCUUACAGCUUGCCCCAGCGUUUCUUUCGCUGAUAUGAAAUCAGCCUUGAAAAGAAUUUUUGGAGAUAACGUUACUUCACCACGAGAGGGCGACAGUGCACUGCAGAGCGCAGAUACUGACACUGCCUUUUACACAAGAUACUCAGGUAAACGGGGAAAUAAGUCAAACACCACACAACAAUUCCAAACCGUGGCUCAAGGCACAAACCCCCUUGAUAAAUAUGGGAGAAGAACGAAAUGUGCAAUUUGCCAAAGCACUAAUCACUGGGCAAAGGAUUGUCCAAACAAAAAAGAACAUGUAAGACUGACAAAAGAUGGACUUAAAGAUGAUGUUGAAGAAUGCAACAUCACUUUUUUUUCAAAUGAAUCCUUGUCUAACACAGAAAUCUUUAUGGUGGAGGCUUUAGGAUCAGCUGUGAUUGACACAGCCUGUACAAGAACAGUGUGUGGAGAAAAAUGGCUUGAGGAUUACACAAGUGGGCUGCCAGAGAGUGAGUUACUGAAAAUAGAUGACAAACAAAGUUCAAGACCUUUCAGAUUUGGUGAUGGCAAAGUUGUUCACUCCACAAGGAAAGUCACCAUUCCAGUUAAAAUAGGACAUACCAGGUGCAAAAUAGAGACAGAAGUUGUUCCUGCAGAUAUACCAAUGCUCUUAAGCAAGGCUUCAUUGAAAAGAGCAAGUGCAGUUUUGGACAUUGCAAAUGACAAAGCAACAAUGUUUAAACAACCUGUUAACCUUGAACUGACACCUUCAGGACAUUAUUGUGUGAACUUGAGAGAUGACAGUCAUCUAGGUGAAAAGGAGACAAGUGAGAGCAAAACACAAAAGGAAAAUGAAAUUCUUGCAGUGACAGAAAACAUGACAACAAAAGAAAAGGAGAGAGUACUGUUGAAACUACACAGACAGUUUGGACAUGCUUCAGCUGAUAGACUGCAAAAAUUACUGGCCUGCUCAGGUAAUCAUGAUGAUGAAAGCAACACAAUCCUCAAGAACAUUGUUAAAAACUGUGAUACAUGUAUCAGAUACAGCAAGCCAAAACAUAAGCCUGUAGUGGGUUUGCCUAUGGCAUCAGCCUAUAAUGAGACUGUGGCUGUGGACUUACAUGAGCUUGAGCCGGGAGUAUGGUAUUUGCACGCUAUGGACCACUUCACACGCUUCAGUACAGGGAGUAUUGUCACCACAAAGAACCCAAAAGAGAUAGUGAAGCACUUUAUUCACUGCUGGAUAAGUGUUCAUGGUCCUCCAUGCAGACUAUUUAGUGAUAACGGAGGUGAAUUUAACAAUGAUGAAAUGAAGGACAUGGCUG
ensembl:lncRNA